GACGGACGCUGGCGGCGUGCUUAACACAUGCAAGUCGAACGGAAAGGCCCUGCUUUUGUGGGGUGCUCGAGUGGUGAACGGGUGAGUAACACGUGAGUAACCUGCCCUUGACUUUGGGAUAACUUCAGGAAACUGGGGCUAAUACCGGAUAGGAGCUCCUGCUGCAUGGUGGGGGUUGGAAAGUUUCGGCGGUUGGGGAUGGACUCGCGGCUUAUCAGCUUGUUGGUGGGGUAGUGGCUUACCAAGGCUUUGACGGGUAGCCGGCCUGAGAGGGUGACCGGCCACAUUGGGACUGAGAUACGGCCCAGACUCCUACGGGAGGCAGCAGUGGGGAAUAUUGCACAAUGGGCGGAAGCCUGAUGCAGCAACGCCGCGUGCGGGAUGACGGCCUUCGGGUUGUAAACCGCUUUCGCCUGUGACGAAGCGUGAGUGACGGUAAUGGGUAAAGAAGCACCGGCUAACUACGUG
rnacentral:rRNA from 1 species